rnacentral:lncRNA from 1 species
UAUUAACAGUAGGGGGAAGAAUAAAAUAUCCUUUCUUUGCAGCUAGUCCUCCCAUAAAUUGACAAUUUCAGAAUUAAAGUAACUGUAGAGCCCAACAGUUAUCAUAAUAACUUGGUAAACUUAGAUUCAGCAUAUAUUAAAUUAGACUGUUAAAGUACAGUACUGUAAGAGUGAGUGGAAGGAAAUUGUGGGUUCCUUACAUCUAAUUAAGGACCUUUUUCAGUGCAACAAGGCAUGAUAAGAAAGGGAGGAAGCCAUAAAUAAGAGCAUACAGGGUCCCAAAUUGACUGACAAAUAAGGCAGGAUAGGAUGGGAACCAAAGCUGGUUAAUCACACUAAUUGAUGAGGGCAGAUGGGAGUGUGGGAUUUCCUGCUGAUCAGGAAAAUCUUCAGUUAGGAAACUAAGGGAAAAGGGGGAAACCAGAAACAGGGAGAUACAGAUCUGAUACAACAAACCAUAGAGACAAUGACAAGAAACAAACCUAGUCACACAAAUUGAUGUGCUAAUGAGAAAUUACAAGCACCACUUCCAGCAAGAUCAACAAUUGAUUGGCAAUUGAUUAAGAUUGUGAACCAAGGCAGGGCAUGGGCUGGGAGGGGUGCAGGAAAGAGUGGACCUCUGCAACCCAACAAGGGAUGUCUUAGGGAAGAGGGAGCAGGGAGGAGUAAAGAGGGAGUAAGCAGAAAAGAUUAUAAAAGGGCUUGUUGCUUGUAAGAUAGAGUUGGUCAGUAUGCUUGUCUGGCUGAGCCCUGUGCCUGAUCACUGCAGUCUGGCCAGUGUUGUCAUUAAAUCCUUUCUUAUCUCUCUGUUUAAUCUUACUGCUGUAAGGGCUCAGUUCUAGCUCCUGGUGAGACCUCUGUGUGUGAGCGAAAUUUGAUGCCAGCUGCUGGAGUCUCAGCAACAGCUCCUGGAGCAGUUUUUUUAAUGGACUCUGCUAGAGGAGCGGAUGCAGCACAAGCUGCAGGCGAUGCUGGAGGAACAGGAACGCGUCAUCGAGCACAAGCAGAAGGAGCAGGAGGUGCUGCUGAAGGAAUGCUUCCAGAGCGAGGCUGAGACGCUGCGGGAGCAGACAAGAAGCUGCGGGAGAAGAAGGAGGAGAUGAAGAAGCCGUCGUGGCACCAAAGGGCACCGGAUGGGCACGGCUUUGUCACCGAUCCCUUUCUGCUGGGCCUGUUGUCUGUCGCGUUGGUCGUGUUCUUUGGUGCCCUGAUGCUGAUACAGCACGUGUAGUGACCUCAGUGCAAUCCCAAUAAAUUCCUCCAUUCUGCCUCCA